rnacentral:snRNA from 1 species
GGUGCUCACUUCAGCAGCACAUGUACUAAACUGGAACAAUAGAUUAGCACGGCCCCUGCACAGGGAUGACAUACAAUCAUGAUGCAUUCCAUAUUUAA